rnacentral:lncRNA from 1 species
UAACGCAGUUGUUGCUUCUUGGAUAGGACUGCUAAGAUCUGGAAAUCUAUUAGGAGGACUCCUAGCCGGUUUUCCCUUCAAUGCACUCUAAAUCAUCCGAGCAUCAAACAGAAUAACAAAUCAGAUGCAUAGAACUGACAUGUUCGGCGUCAUAAAAGAAAGAAAAAUUAGUCUUCCACUGGAGCCAAUGUUUUGAUCUCUGUGGAGACACCUUUACCCAUACAUUUUAGCAAGAGUCGAAAUUUUAAUUUCGUAAAGAAUCAUAACCAUGACAUUUUUUACUUGUCUAGACAAAAUAGGGAAGAAAACUGAAAUAGGAUUUGCAAAUUUUAAUGAUUAGAAAAACUUGACUGUAUUGUAACCAAAAAAAAAAGAAAAGAAAAACUUGACUGUACUGAAAUAUAUUAUACUUACAAAUAUCACAACCAUAAAAAGUAGGGGGAAUGGACUUAAGGAAAUAGAAUAAAUAUCUAAAUGAAAAAAUAUCAGUAAAUCAACUAUGUUUUUUGUAAUAGACUCUGAAAAUCAUGCCAU